rnacentral:rRNA from 1 species
GAUGAACGCUGGCGGCGCGCCUAACACAUGCAAGUCUAACGGUUAAAGCACCUUUUAGGUGUGUAUAAAGUGGCGAACGGCUGAGUAACACGUGGGCAACCUGCCCUCCUCUUGGGGAUAGCCUCGGGAAACCGAGGAUAAUACCCGAUACUUCAAUGUGGCCGCAUGACGACAUUGAGAAAGCUUUUGCGGAGAAGGAUGGGCCCGCGGCCUGUUAGCUUGUUGGUGGGGUAGAGGCCUACCAAGGCAAUGAUGGGUAGCUGGGUUGAGAGACCGACCAGCCAGAUUGGGACUGAGACACGGCCCAGACUCCUACGGGAGGCAGCAGUGGGGAAUCUUGCACAAUGGGCGAAAGCCUGAUGCAGCGACGCCGCGUGCGGGACGAAGGCCUUCGGGUUGUAAACCGCUUUCAGCAGGGACGAGGCGAUAAGUGACGGUACCUGCAGAAGAAGCCCCGGCUAACUACGUG